GAGCUAAUACAUGCGAACACUCUCGACUCACGAAGAGAUGCUUUUAUUAGAUCAAACCAAACUGCUUCGGCAGUACCCAUUGGUGACUCUGAAUAACUUUCAGCUGAUCGCAUUGCCUUGUGCAGGCGACAUUUCCUAUGAAGGUGUGCCCUAUCAACUGUCGACUGUGAUAUAGACGCUCACAGUGGUUUUGACGGGUAACGAGGAAUCUGGGUUCGAUUUCGGUGAGGGAGCCUUAAAAACGGCUACCACAUCCAAGGAAGGCAGCAGGCACGCAAAUUACCCAAUUAUCGAAGAUAGAGGUAGUGACGAAAAAUAACAAUACAAGACUCUUCCGAGGCCUUGUAAUUGGAAUGAGUACACUUUAAAACCGUUUCACGAGGAUCCAUUGGAGGGCAAGUCUGGUGCCAGCAGCCGCGGUAAUUCCAGCUCCAAUAGUGUAUAUUAAUGUUGUUGUGGUUAAAAAGCUCGUAGUUGGAUUUCGGCGGGUAGUGGCUGGUUCGAAUUGAUUCGACACUGGCUUUUUUACCCGUGUGUUUGGCCACAACCUUGCGGGUGCUCUUAAUCGAGUGUCCGUCGGGGGUGGCAGGUUUACUUUGAAAAAAUUAGAGUGCUCAAAGCAAGCUUGACUGCUUGAAUAUUCGUGCAUGGAAUAAUAGAAUAGGAGGUCGUCUCUAUUUUGUUGGUUUUCGGAAAUCGACUUAAUGAUUAAUAGGGAUAGUCGGGGGCAUUUGUAUUCAAACGACAGAGGUGAAGUUCUUGGACCGUUUGAAGACAA
rnacentral:rRNA from 1 species